AACGAACGCUGGCGGCAUGCCUAACACAUGCAAGUCGAACGAGACCUUCGGGUCUAGUGGCGUCCGGGUGCGUAACGCGUGGGAACCUGCCCUUGGGUUCGGAAUAACUCCCCGACAGGGGUGCUAAUACCGGAUCAUGUCUUCGGACCAAAGAUUUAUUGCCUUUGGUUGGGCCCGCGUUGGAUUCGCUAGUUGGUAGGGUAAAAGCCUACUAAGGCGCGGAUCCAUAGCUGGUUUGAGAGGAUGAUCAGCCACACUGGGACUGAGACACGGCCCAGACUCCUACGGGAGGCAGCAGUGGGUAAUAUUGGACAAUCGGCGAAAGCCUGAUCCAGCAAUGCCGCGUGAGUGAUGAAGGCCUUAGGGUUGUAAAGCUCUUUUAACCGGGAUGAUAAUGACAGUACCGGGAGAAUAAGCUCCGGCUAACUCCGUG
rnacentral:rRNA from 1 species